rnacentral:rRNA from 1 species
ACUGUCAGGUGGGCAGUUUGACUGGGGCGGUCGCCUCCCAAAAGGUAACGGAGGCGCUCAAAGGUUCUCUCAGUACGGUCGGAAAUCGUACGUAGAGUGUAAAGGCAAAAGAGAGCUUGAUUGCAAGACAUACAGGUCGAGCAAGGAUGAAAAUCGGACUUAGUGAUCCGGUGGUUCUGCGUGGAAGGGCCAUCGCUCAACGGAUAAAAGCUACCCUGGGGAUAACAGGCUUAUCUCCCCCAAGAGUCCACAUCGACGGGGAGGUUUGGCACCUCGAUGUCGGCUCAUCACAUCCUGGGGCUGUAGUAGGUCCCAAGGGUUGGGCUGUUCGCCCAUUAAAGUGGUACGCGAGCUGGGUUCAGAACGUCGUGAGACAGUUCGGUCCCUAUCCGUCGCAGGCGUAGGAAAUUUGAGAAGACCUGUCCUUAGUACGAGAGGACCGGGAUGGACGUA